rnacentral:rRNA from 1 species
GAUGAACGCUGACAGAAUGCUUAACACAUGCAAGUCGACUUGAACUUCGGUUUGGGUGGCGGACGGGUGAGUAACGCGUAAAGAACUUGCCUCACAGAUAGGGACAACAUUUGGAAACGAAUGCUAAUACCUGAUAUUAUGAUUAUAUGGCAUCGUAUAAUUAUGAAAGCUAUAUGCGCUGUGAGAGAGCUUUGCGUCCCAUUAGCUAGUUGGAGAGGUAACGGCUCACCAAGGCGAUGAUGGGUAGCCGGCCUGAGAGGGUGAUCGGCCACAAGGGGACUGAGACACGGCCCUUACUCCUACGGGAGGCAGCAGUGGGGAAUAUUGGACAAUGGACCAAGAGUCUGAUCCAGCAAUUCUGUGUGCACGAUGAAGUUUUUCGGAAUGUAAAGUGCUUUCAGUUGGGAAGAAAAAAAUGACGGUACCAACAGAAGAAGUGACGGCUAAAUACGUG